rnacentral:lncRNA from 1 species
AUUUUUAAUGUGCACAAUUCAUAGCGUAAUUUAAAUUAAUAUGCGCAGUGAUACAGACUGACCUUGAAUAUUCCGACUAGACAUGAACGCACCAGGAAGCAGUGGCCGUUCGGUAGCAGUCCCGCUAACUUUACCGUUAGCUAUGCCUGGAAAAUGUAAAUUUCAGGACUCCUGGCUCUCCAAGGAAAUUUAUAAAGACUGGCUGGUCAAAGAAGUCCAAGACAUUCACUUCGCCCGGUGUAGGGCCUGUUGUAAAUCAAUCAAGCUUCAGACCAUGGGCGAGGCUGCUCUCACCAGCCACGCAGGGGGAGCUGGCCACAAAGCAGCGGUCCGCAAGAUAGUGGAAGCAGGCAACGUGAUGCUGAUCAAUGCCGCUGGGCAGAUAAAUGGCAGCGUGAAUCAGACUGAGGACAGCAAGGAGCAAGUGGCCAUCUGCCUCCAGCAUGACGCCUUGGACAGAAUAACAGGUAGCGGCUGGUCGGAUCUACGCCACAGCCCCACUACAAACUCCACCUCCCACAGUGCAGAGCUGCAGGAUGCCACAUUUCCUGCUGCUUAUUUCACAGCACCAGGCACCUCCCGAAUCAUCAGCCAGCGUCUCCACCCGACAGGCAGCGAGGCGGAGGAAGCGACCCGCCGCUCAACUCAGCACGACUCUGCAGACAUGUCGAGACAGGAGCACCAGCAGAGAGCAGAAGCUCUGGAGCAGCAGCAGCAGAUGAAGAUCCUGGAGUGGGAGAACAGGAUGAAGGUGCUGGCGUGGGAGCAGGAGCUGGUGAGGGAGAAGAGGAGAGCAGCGCGGCAGAAGGAGAAGGCCUUCAGGAUGAAGAAGGCUUACUACAAAGCCAAGCUAAAGAAGAUGGGCGAGGAAGUGCCGCCAUCCUCCUCCAGCAGCAGCGAUGAAGAGGAGAAAACGUCUGAUCCGUCAGGAUGAACUGUUUUGAAUUGUUGUAUUUUUUAUUAGUUUCUUGUAUUCUUUUGUCUAUAUGCCAUGAAACUGUUGCUAUUUUUAUACAUUGUUUUGUAUUUUAAUGAGGAUUCUCGGUUGCUUUAAAUCAGCUGUUCUUUUUCUGUAAUUGUAAUUCAGUUGUUCUCUGUUGUUGAGACUUCUUUGGUUUUUGAGGCAGACUGUAGUUUUGAAAAGCAUAUGACAACGUCCUACUCGAGUAGGAGUACUGUUACUUAAAAGCACAUGUGAGAUUACUUGAGUUGCAGACUACUCAACAGUACAACGGUAGCUCUUUUGAAGAUUAGUACCAGUUACAUUAUUCCAUAUGGCCAAUAUGACGACCACCUCUUCUGUCUCGGUAAGAUUUCUAUAUUCAAAAUAAACUGAACUAGUUGAGAGUGUAAGGUGUGCUGCUAAUAGAUCUAUAGAAGUACAUGGACAUGCUAUGAAACAUUAAUACUUUGCACAUCCUGUAGACAAACCUCUGAAUUGUGUAAAAGGGUUAAAAAUCGAAAUGAUCCUGUUUUGUUUUAUUAUAAUUCAUCACAAUGUGUCUUCACUAUUUAAAUGUAUGAGACGUUCAUUGAUGUUUAAGGUUGAUGUGUCUGUAAAGGUCAUAGCCUAUUCUAGUGGGAACGUCGCUUUAAAGAAUGUAUUGAGAUUACAUCUAAUCACUGCAGAUGUAGAAAUAAAAUGACAUUUCUAAAUGAAAAAUCUUUUAUUAUGAUUUAUCUUCCUAUGUAUGCUUAAAAUGUAGUCUUUGCGUUGUAAAUAAAUGUGCAUUCGGUGACAAAUCAAAGAAAAAAACUGAAUAAAUUAGGCAAAACAUUCACUACUUGGCCAGAAGUAGUGUGUGGUUUACACUGCUAUACCAGCCUCAGCUGAUUUUGGGAUCUGCUCCCCAUUCAGCCACAAGAGCAUUAACUGCUAUGUAAAUCUUUGUUUGUUUUUAGCCUCUCAAAUAUGGAGAUUUUCUGCCGUUCUGUUUUACGUCAUAUUAAACUGAAUAUCUUUGGGUUUUUGGCUUCCGAGUUUCUGGUGCUGGUAGCCAUAUUUUGAAUUUUGGACGUGAAUAAUUAAAAUAUCCCUUUAAGUUUUCACCCGUCUGUAAGUGCUAAAGCAAAUAUUUAGUUUGUAUUUAACAGAUAUAAACAUGUCUCAUGGAGCUGCGACUGAGUCAUGCUAUUCAGAAUGGAACAGGAGCAUUGAUCUGUUUUUGUUUUCGCACUUUACAUGUAAGGUAAUCUGAGGGAGUGUUAUAUUGUGUCUCAGCUGGGUGCUUCUGGUUUUGCCAGAAUCAAGGUGGCAGCUGAACAUCUCUGCCGCCUCUGAAUGUGACAGGAUACUUUGAGUCUAAACAAGUCAGAGAGCCUUCCUGAAAAACGUGUCCGUCUGUCAGGAUGUUUUCUCUGCUCAGUUAUUUGCACCUGAAAAUGUAUUUUCUCAUGAAUACCAAGCAGCGCACGCACACAC